UACGGGGGGGGCAAGCGUUGUUCGGAAUUACUGGGCGUAAAGGGCUCGUAGGUGGCCAACUAAGUCAGACGUGAAAUCCCUCAGCUUAACUGGGGAACUGCGUCUGAUACUGGAUGGCUUGAGAUUGGGAGAGGGAUGCGGAAUUCCAGGUGUAGCGGUGAAAUGCGCAGAUAUCAGGAGGAACACCGGUGGCGAAGGCGGGUCUCUGGGCCGAUACUGACGCUGAGGAGCGAAAACGUGGGGAGCGAACAGG
rnacentral:rRNA from 1 species